rnacentral:rRNA from 1 species
UUAAAUUUUAUUUAUUAAUUUAGUUUAUUUAAAUUUUUAAUAUUAAAAAUAAUUAUAUAUUUUAAAGUUUUAGUAUUGUUUAAAGAAAAAAUAAAUUUAAUUAUAGUGAAUUAGUAUUGUAAAAGAAAAUUGAAAUAAUUUGAAAAAUUAUUAUUAAAAAAGAAAAUUUAAUUUAUUGUACCUUGUGUAUCAGUGUUUAUUAAAUAAAAAAUAUUUAUAUAUUUUUCUCGAUUUUAAAAGAGUUAAUAUAAUAUUAAAGUUAAUGUAAUAAAAUUAUUUUAAAUAUUAUAUUAGAAAUGAAAUGUUAUUCGUUUUUAAAGGUAUCUAGUUUUUCAAGAAAUAAAUUUAAUUUAGAAAUUAUAAAUUUAUUUAAAAAAUUUUUUAAUUAAAUAAUUUAUAAUUUUAAUAUUUUAUGGGAUAAGCUAUAAAAUAAAUUUUUAAAAAUAAUAAAUAAAUUUAAUAAAUAUAUGUUUAGAAUUAGCAAUUAUUAAUAAAUAUGUUAUAAUUUAUUUUAUAAAAAAAAAUUAUUUAUUAUAUUUUAAAUUUUUAUUGAAAUAUUAAUUUUAAUUUUUAAAAUUAAUUAAUAAUGAUAAAAUUAGUAUAUUAUAUUGUUAAAUAAAUUUAAAUGAUAAGUUAAAAUAAAG